rnacentral:rRNA from 1 species
AGUGAACGCUGGCGGUAGGCCUAACACAUGCAAGUCGAACGGCAGCACAGUAAGAGCUUGCUCUUACGGGUGGCGAGUGGCGGACGGGUGAGGAAUACAUCGGAAUCUACUUUUUCGUGGGGGAUAACGUAGUGAAACUUACGCUAAUACCGCAUACGACCUACGGGUGGAAGCAGGGGAUCUUCGGACCUUGCGCGAUUGAAUGAGCCGAUGUCGGAUUAGCUAGUUGGCGGGGUAAAGGCCCACCAAGGCGACGAUCCGUAGCUGGUCUGAGAGGAUGAUCAGCCACACUGGAACUGAGACACGGUCCAGACUCCUACGGGAGGCAGCAGUGGGGAAUAUUGGACAAUGGGCGCAAGCCUGAUCCAGCCAUACCGCGUGGGUGAAGAAGGCCUUCGGGUUGUAAAGCCCUUUUGUUGGGAAAGAAAAGCAGCAGGUUAAUACCCCGCUGUUCUGACGGUACCCAAAGAAUAAGCACCGGCUAACUUCGUG